rnacentral:rRNA from 1 species
CCUACGGUGGGCUGCAGUGGGGAAUAUUGGACAAUGGGCGAAAGCCUGAUCCAGCCAUGCCGCGUGUGUGAAGAAGGCCUUCGGGUUGUAAAGCACUUUCAGUGGGGAAGAAAGCCUUGGGGCUAAUACCCUCGAGGAAGGACAUCACCCACAGAAGAAGCACCGGCUAACUCCGUGCCAGCAGCCGCGGUAAUACGGAGGGUGCGAGCGUUAAUCGGAAUUACUGGGCGUAAAGCGCGCGUAGGCGGUCUGAUAAGCCGGUUGUGAAAGCCCCGGGCUCAACCUGGGAAUGGCAUCCGGAACUGUCAGGCUAGAGUGCAGGAGAGGAAGGUAGAAUUCCCGGUGUAGCGGUGAAAUGCGUAGAGAUCGGGAGGAAUACCAGUGGCGAAGGCGGCCUUCUGGACUGACACUGACGCUGAGGUGCGAAAGCGUGGGUAGCAAACAGGAUUAGAUACCCAGUAGC